UCCGGCUUGACGCCGGCAGUCCCCCGAGAGUCCUCAGCUUUACCUGUUAGUAACACGGGGCAAGGGUUGCGCUCGUUGCGGGACUUAACCCAACAUCUCACGGCACGAGCUGACGACAGCCAUGCACUACCUGCGCAGAAGUCCCUUGCGGGAGGUUCUGGCUUUCACCAAAAUUUCCUCUGCAUGUCAAACCCAGGUAAGGUUCUUCGCGUUGCAUCGAAUUAAUCCACAUGCUCCGCCGCUUGUGCGGGCCCCCGUCAAUUUCUUUGAGUUUUAACCUUGCGGCCGUACUCCCCAGGCGGUGUGCUUAAAGCGUUAGCUGCGACACCGAAGAGCUAGGCUCCCCAACGUCUAGCACACAUCGUUUACAGCGUGGACUAC
rnacentral:misc_RNA from 1 species